AACGCACAUUGCGCCCUUUGGUAUUCCGAAGGGCAUGCCUGUCCGAGCGUCAUUACACCCCUCAAGCUUUGCUUGGUAUUGGGCCUUCGUCCGCCAGCGGACGGGCCUCGAAAUCCUCGGCGGCGGCGCCCGGCUUCGAGCGUAGUAGAAAUUCUCAUCUCGCUUUGGAGGCCCGUGGCGUCUGCUUGCCGGACGACCCCCAAUCUUUCUUCUAAGGUUGACCUCGGAUCAGGUAGGGAUACCCGCUGAACUUAA
rnacentral:misc_RNA from 1 species